UACAGAGGGUGCAAGCGUUGUUCGGAAUUACUGGGCGUAAAGCGUGCGUAGGCGGUCCUGUAAGUCGGAGGUGAAAUCCCUGGGCUCAACCCAGGAACUGCCCCCGAUACUGCUUGACUUGAGUGUGGGAGAGGAAGGUGGAAUUCCUGGUGUAGCGGUGAAAUGCGUAGAGAUCAGGAGGAACACCGGCGGCGAAAGCGGCCUUCUGGCCCACCACUGACGCUGAGGCACGAAAGUGCGGGGAGCAAACAGGAUUAGAUACCCUGGUAGUCCGCACCAUAAACGAUGAGUGCUAGGUGUUGGGGGAAUUGACGCCCUCAGUGCCGACGCUAACGCAUUAAGCACUCCGCCUGGGGAGUACGGUCGCAAGACUA
rnacentral:rRNA from 1 species